UUUAUAGAUGAGGAAACUGAGACAGAGUUUAUUGACUUGCCCAGGGACUCUGAAGCCUUUACACAUGUUGAUUUCAUAAAUUCUUCAGCAUUCCCAUGAAAAAGCAAGCCUCAGCUUGAAAUGACUCUGUGAGCCUGUGCUGCUAUAUUCCACUGGGUUAUGACCAUGGAUCAUGCAUCCGAAUGCUAGAUGCCCCGUUUAAGAUGAACAACUGAGGCCCAGAGAAGUGAUUUGUUUAAAGGCAUUCAUACGAUAAGUGAUACAGCCAGAAUUUGAACCUAUUUUUUUAAAUCCAUAAAAUGGGACUAAUAACAUCUAACUCGCAGAGAUUUUCUGAGAAAUGAGUAAGAACAUGAGAAUAAGUGUUUUGUAGAAUGCUCUGUUGGGGAAGUUAAGUGGUUCAUAGAUCAGGGAUACCUGGGUUCAAAUCUAA